rnacentral:rRNA from 1 species
CCUACGGGAGGCUGCACUAGGGAAUCUUUCACAAUGGGCGAAAGCCUGAUGGAGCAACGCCGCGUGCAGGAUGACGGCCUUCGGGUUGUACACCUCUUUUGUCGGGGAGCAAAGCGAACCACGUGUGGUUCAUUGAGAGUACCCGAAGAAACAGCAUCGGCUAACUACGUGCCAGCAGCCGCGGUAGUACGGAGGAUGCGAGCGUUAUCCGGAUUUAUUGGGUUUAAAGGGUGCGCAGGCGGAGGUGCAAGUCAGCGGUCAAAUUGCGGGGCUCAACCCCGUACUGCCGUUGAAACUGCAUCCCUUGAGUGCGCGAGAAGUAUGCGGAAUGCGUGGUGUAGCGGUGAAAUGCAUAGAUAUCACGCAGAACUCCGAUUGCGAAGGCAGCAUACCGGCGCGCAACUGACGCUCAUGCACGAAAGCGUGGGUAUCGAACAGGAUUAGAUACCCCAGUAGUC